GACAGAGGGUGCAAACGUUGUUCGGAAUCACUGGGCGUAAAGCGCGUGUAGGCGGCCGCGCAGGUCGGGCGUGAAAUCCCGUGGCUCAACCACGGAAGUGCACCCGAAACCGCGUAGCUGGAGUCUCGGAGAGGAAGGUGGAAUGCUUGGUGUAGAGGUGAAAUUCGUAGAUAUCAAGCGGAACACCAGUGGCGAAGGCGACCUUCUGGACGAUGACUGACGCUGAGACGCGAAAGCGUGGGGAGCAAACAGG
rnacentral:rRNA from 1 species